rnacentral:lncRNA from 1 species
CUUUUUUCUUAUUCUUUAACCCUCUUAUUUAUAGGUGAAUUUUUUAUAUUUUCUGGUAGCAAACGGUGUCCCAAAAGCCCUCAAAAUCGUGUCAAACCCAUGUCUUAAAUUUUUGGCCAUUCGAUCUUAUUUGGACUGUUCAGAUCAGCCCAAAAAUCAUUGCUUAUCUCUUUAUCUCGAUUGAAUUUGAUAUCAACCAUUGGAUCAGUCACC